ensembl:lncRNA
GCGACAGUGGGAUGAAGAGGUGUGCCCAACCAUUUACAACACUGCAGUCCAGGAGGUCUUAUGAAGGGCAGGAGUUUGUCAAAAAGGUGGUGGAGACCUAUCUGGACAUGGUCCACAUGCCCGCUACCUUAAUGACAACCCAGGCACAUACUGAAUACUCAUAUACAGCUGUGAAUGCACAGAUGCUAGCACAAGAGCAGGAGUGGCUGUAUGCCAGUACUAGCCAUCAGGAGGAGGCUGAUGAUUUGAACGACCUGGACACAAUCUACUCAUCCACUGCAACAUCUGCUGAGAGUGUGGAGUCUCUCAAAAAUGUGAGGGACCUCAUCACCGAAUCUGACGACACAGGUGCUUUGCUGAAGAAGGUCGGAC